AGUGAACGCUGGCGGUAGGCCUAACACAUGCAAGUCGAACGGCAGCACAGUAAGAGCUUGCUCUUACGGGUGGCGAGUGGCGGACGGGUGAGGAAUACAUCGGAAUCUACUUUUUCGUGGGGGAUAACGUAGGGAAACUUACGCUAAUACCGCAUACGACCUACGGGUGAAAGCAGGGGAUCUUCGGACCUUGCGCGAUUGAAUGAGCCGAUGUCGGAUUAGCUAGUUGGCGGGGUAAAGGCCCACCAAGGCGACGAUCCGUAGCUGGUCUGAGAGGAUGAUCAGCCACACUGGAACUGAGACACGGUCCAGACUCCUACGGGAGGCAGCAGUGGGGAAUAUUGGACAAUGGGCGCAAGCCUGAUCCAGCCAUACCGCGUGGGUGGAGAAGGCCUUCGGGUUGUAAAGCCCUUUUGUUGGGAAAGAAAAGCAGCAGGUUAAUACCCCGCUGUUCUGACGGUACCCAAAGAAUAAGCACCGGCUAACUUCGU
rnacentral:rRNA from 1 species